rnacentral:lncRNA from 1 species
AAAAACAUUAAGGUGGUAUGGGUGUCUUCCUCCAUCUUGGAUUGUAAAAAACAGAGAAUCAAAGGUCCAGAUUUUCCAUCAAGUUAGCAAAAUUUGAUGCAGGAAUUCAGAUAUUUUAUGUACAUUUUCAUUUAAAAGUACCAAUUUAUAAGAAUAUAACUUCUAAAUAUUGAUAUUUUUGCAAAUGUUAAUUAUUUUUGGUUGUUUUUAUUUUUUUUUUAAAUUGGC